GAUGAACGCUGGCGGCGUGCCUAAUACAUGCAAGUCGAGCGAACAGAUGAGGAGCUUGCUCCUCUGACGUUAGCGGCGGACGGGUGAGUAACACGUGGAUAACCUACCUAUAAGACUGGGAUAACUUCGGGAAACCGGAGCUAAUACCGGAUAAUAUAUUGAACCGCAUGGUUCAUUAGUGAAAGCCGUUUUUGCUGUCCCUUAUUGAUGGUUCCGCGCCGCAUUAGCUAGUUGGUAAGGUAACGGCUUACCAAGGCAACGAUGCGUAGCCGACCUGAGAGGGUGAUCAGCCACACUGGAACUGAGACACGGUCCAGACUCCUACGGGAGGCAGCAGUAGGGAAUCUUCCGCAAUGGGCGAAAGCCUGACGGAGCAACGCCGCGUGAGUGAUGAAGGUCUUCGGGUCGUAAAACUCUUUUGUUAGGGAAGAACAGAUGUGUGAGUAACUAUGCACGUCUUGACGGUACCUGAUCAGAAAGCCACGGCUAACUACGUG
rnacentral:rRNA from 1 species